rnacentral:rRNA from 1 species
UUGGGUUAAGUCCCGCAACGAGCGCAACCCUUAUCUUUAAUUGCCAGCAUUCAGUUGGGCACUUUAAAGAGACUGCCGGUGUUAAACCGGAGGAAGGUGGGAUGACGUCAAGUCCUCAUGGCCUUUAUGCUUAGGGCUACACACGUGCUACAAUGGGUGGUACAAAGAGAAGCCAACUCGCGAGAGCGCGCCAAUCUCAAAAAGCCAUCCUCAGUUCGGAUUGGAGUCUGCAACUCGACUCCAUGAAGUUGGAAUCGCUAGUAAUCGCGGAUCAGCAUGCCGCGGUGAAUACGUUCCCGGGCCUU